rnacentral:rRNA from 1 species
CCUACGGGUGGCAGCAGUAGGGAAUAUUGCUCAAUGGGGGAAACCCUGAAGCAGCAACGCCGCGUGGAGGAUGAAGGUUUUCGGAUUGUAAACCCCUUUUGUCAGAGAAGAUAAUGAUGGUGUCUAACGCAUAAGCACCGGCUCACUCCGGGCCAGCAGCCGCGGUAUUACGGAGGGUGCACGCGGUACUCGGCAUUACUGGGCGUAGAGAGCGCGUGGGCGGGAUAGCAAGUCAGAUGUGAAAUCCUAUGGCUGAACCAUGGAACUGUAUUUGAGACUGUUAGUCUAGAGUGUGGGAGAGGUAGGUGGAAUUCUAGGUGUAGCGGUGAAAUGCGUAGAGAUCAAGAGGAAUACUGAUUGCGAAGGCGGCCUGCUGGAACAUAACUGACGCUGAGGCGCGAAAGCGUGGGGAGCAAACAGGAUUAGAUACCCGAGUAGUC